rnacentral:misc_RNA from 1 species
UCUCCGUUGGUGAACCAGCGGAGGGAUCAUUACAGAGUUGCAAAACUCCCAAACCAUUGUGAACGUUACCUAUCCCGUUGCUUCGGCGGGCGGCCCGGGCCCCGCGCCCGGCGCCCCCCGGCCCCCCGUGGGCGCCCGCCGGAGGUAAACCAAACCCUUGAAUUGCAUGGCCUCUCUGAGUCUUCUGUACUGAAUAAGUCAAAACUUUCAACAACGGAUCUCUUGGUUCUGCCAUCGAUGAAGAACGCAGC